AGAGUUUGAUCCUGGCUCAGGAUGAACGCUAGCGGCAGGCCUAACACAUGCAAGUCGAGGGGUAGAACACUUCGGUGUUUGAGACCGGCGCACGGGUGCGUAACGCGUAUGCAAUCUACCUUAUACAGGGGAAUAGCCCAGAGAAAUUUGGAUUAAUGCCCCAUAGCAUUACGACUUGGCAUCAAGAUGUAAUUAAAGUUCCAACGGUAUAAGAUGAGCAUGCGUCCCAUUAGUUAGUUGGUAAGGUAACGGCUUACCAAGACGAUGAUGGGUAGGGGUCCUGAGAGGGAGAUCCCCCACACUGGUACUGAGACACGGACCAGACUCCUACGGGAGGCAGCAGUGAGGAAUAUUGGUCAAUGGUCGCAAGACUGAACCAGCCAUGCCGCGUGCAGGAAGACGGUCCUAUGGAUUGUAAACUGCUUUUAUACAGGGAGAAACCCUCCCACGUGUGGGAGCUUGACGGUACUGUAGGAAUAAGGAUCGGCUAACUCCGUGCCAGCAGCCGCGGUAAUACGGAGGAUCCAAGCGUUAUCCGGAAUCAUUGGGUUUAAAGGGUCCGUAGGCGGUCUUAUAAGUCAGUGGUGAAAGCCCAUCGCUCAACGAUGGAACUGCCAUUGAUACUGUAAGACUUGAAUGCUUAGGAAGUAACUAGAAUAUGUAGUGUAGCGGUGAAAUGCUUAGAUAUUACAUGGAAUACCAAUUGCGAAGGCAGGUUACUACUAAGUGAUUGACGCUGAUGGACGAAAGCGAGGGGAGCGAACAGGAUUAGAUACCCUGGUAGUCCACGCCGUAAACGAUGUCAACUAGUUGUCGGGCCUUACUAGGCUUGGUAACGAAGCUAACGCGUGAAGUUGACCGCCUGGGGAGUACGGUCGCAAGAUUAAAACUCAAAGGAAUUGACGGGGACCCGCACAAGCGGUGGAUUAUGUGGAUUAAUUCGAUGCAACGCGAAAAACCUUACCUACCCUUGACAUGUAGCGAAUUUUCUAGAGAUAGAUUAGUGCCUUCGGGAACGCUAACACAGGUGCUGCAUGGCUGUCGUCAGCUCGUGUCGUGAGAUGUUGGGUUAAGUCCCGCAACGAGCGCAACCCUUGUCAUUAAUUGCCAUCAUUUAGUUGGGCACCUUAAUGAGACUGCCGGUGACAAACCGGAGGAAGGUGGGGAUGACGUCAAGUCCUCAUGGCCCUUAUGGGUAGGGCUUCACACGUAAUACAAUGGCGCGUACAGAGGGUUGCCAACCCGCGAGGGGGAGCUAAUCUCAGAAAGCGCGUCGUAGUCCGGAUCGGAGUCUGCAACUCGACUCCGUGAAGUCGGAAUCGCUAGUAAUCGCGGAUCAGCAUGUCGCGGAGAAUACGUUCCCGGGUCUUGUACACACCGCCCGUCACACCAUGGGAGUGGGUUUCACCAGAAGCAGGUAGUCUAACCGUAAGGAGGGCGCUUGCCACGGUGAGAUUCAUGACUGGGGUGAAGUCGUAACAAGGUAACC
rnacentral:rRNA from 1 species